CCAUUCCUUAAAAAUCCUAUAAAAAAUCGGCUACUGUGGCAGAUACGUUGAAGAAAGCUCAGGCCACCCACAACCAUUUACGUUAUACCCCACCUUUCCUUCAAAUUUGAUAACUAAAUUAUCUUACUUAAGCUGCAAUUACUAAACAGCGUUUUCAACAUGGAGGGUAACGUUAACGUAACGUUACAGCAGCAGACAUGGUUUAGCUAGUCGACCUCCGUCGGUCGGUGGCUGAAGAAAGAGCAGGAUCACUACACUAACAACUUCGGCUGGAGUUAGAAACCAUCGAGGACAAGAAGAAGAUGAACCUCCAGAACCAGAAACCUAACGCCGUCCACAGUCAAAAUUGCACAUAGCGAACAACUUCAUUGACAUUUUGGCUAGCUAGCUAGUUAGCUAACGUUAGCUACCUAGUGCGGAAGGUGGCGUCAGAGCCCGGGCUCCAGUCUGUCCCAGGCGACCAUGACUCCUCAGCAGCAGGUUGUUCACCGCGAGCAGCACCCCUCCAUAAUCGACCAGAAAGUGCAGUUAACUGUCAAACUGUUUAUGCUGGAAAAUGCCCGGAAUACACUUGAACAAGAACUUCUUAAACUCACCAACAAGGCCUACGAAGAGGUUCAAGAAUUCUUGAAUUCAUCUUUUCCCACUAGUGACUUCAGUGAUCUCGCAAAAGCUUUGGAUACAAAAUGCCAAGUCAUUGACAAGCUCUCAGCUUUAUUAAAAGACCUCACAGUUGAGGCAAACAUUUUUGUCCAGCCUACUGUCAAAAAUGGAGUGAGAACAAAUCAACUUCUGCCACUCGGAGACAAUUGGAUCCUAACGACAGAAGUUCUCAAGUUUGGGCCCAUGUUGCAGAACUUGCUCAUGGCGAGCUCUAUAGCCAAAGCUGUCCAGGUGCUUGGAGCCACGCUGUCCCUCCAGCAGUCAAAACAUUUCCCCAUCUCCCCAUCUCACCAGGAUGACAUGAUAGGCAGCAUCUCGUCCAGCUACAAAAGCGCUGUUGCGACUACGAGCUCAUCCUCUCACUUAAAGGCUGAAGAAAAAGAACACGCUGUUGUUUUUGAGGAGGCAGGCCCAUCAGAUGCUGUGAUUCUUUCACCUGCGAUUAUUGAGAGACCCAAGAUUAACCCAGAGAGGUCACCAGUACUACUACCUCCCAUACAAGCUAUGCUGCCAGAGACGAGUAACCCUAAACCAAUGAAAAUAACACCACUAAUAGGCUGGGGAUGUGUGGAUGAUGUCCAGGUGCAACACCAAAAACAAACAUCCUCUCAGCUGCUUCACUUCCUCAGAACAAAAGCUAAAAACAUGGGUGCACUAGAGGCCACUGUCACGGAGGGGAGUGAGAGAAUGUGCCCUUCAAGCUUGCCACAGGUGCCUACCAUCCAAACACAAAGCUACCAAUUCAGACAUGCUGUGACGGAUGAUCUGAUCAAUGCACUAGCUCCGAAAACGUUAUGUGCAGACAUAAAAAACCAAGCCCCUAUCUUCAGGGUAAAAAGAGUGGAAUCAAGUGGCUCUCUGACCUACACUUGUGUGAUAUCAACAAAGACUGAAUUGUGGGAUAUUGGAGACAUCUUCACAGAGGUGGGACACGGAGACUCUGAAGCGAGCCCCUCGGGAAAAAAAGACUGCCCGAAUACAACCGCUCGUUUGGAGAACUCGUGUCUAAACGCCCAGUGGGAAACCCAAACUCUCCAGUGCACAGAACCUGAACAUGUUAGCCAAUCUCCUGGUGCAAAAACACCAGCGGUCAACGCCAUUACCACUGCUGAGUUCCAGAUCCGGAGGUUUGAAGAGACUGAAGUUGUGGUGUCUCAUAUUGUCAGCCCAGGCAACUUCUACGUCCAACACGCAGACUCCAUCACAAAGCUGCAGGCCCUUGUCACAGACAGCUGGAAAGCCAGUAAUUCAUAUGCCGAGCAGAACCGCAUUCCAGAUAUUGGAACCCAAGUAAUGGGUUGGUUCCCUAAGCAAGAACAAUGGUGCAGAGCUCAGGUGACAAAGAUAUGUGGAGUAAGUGAAGAUAAUAAUGCCACUGAUGGCGCUGGGAGUGAGACAUCCAUCAAGGUGGAGGUGAAGAGGCUGGACUACGGUGACACAGCCUGCCUGUCACUGUUGAACACCAAGGAGAUGACCCCAGAAAUGGCUCUCCUACCUCUUCAGGCUGUACAGGUCUCACUGACAAAUGUGACGCCUGUGAAUGGGAGUGAUUGGUCUGAGGAGGCAGUGGGCUGGUUCAAAACAAUGGUGCACAACAGAACACUCUAUGCCAGACUUUACCCGCAGGGGCCCAAAGUUACAGUCGAGCUGUUUUUGGAAAAGGGAAAGCUCGGAGCUAUGAGGAGGGGUGCAUCAUUGUCUUUGAGACUGGCCCAGAACGGACAUGCAAAACACAACAAACUCAAGAAUGUCAGCCUCAUGAAAAUAAACACCGUUCAACUUAAAAAGAAGAAGCAGGACUCCGAGUGGGAGAAAUACCUCAUCUCGUGCUAUACUCAAAAGUAACAAGUAAUUCAGAAAGCACAGAAUGUGGGUAGUUGUGUUUGUCUCGUCUGACAGCACACCAAUGUCAAAUGUAAAAAAAAUAAAUAAAUAAAAUAAAUACAAAUGGCAGCCCUGCCAUGAAGCACCCAGAAACACAGACAUUUAUUGAUUCUUAAAUGAGAGAUAACCCAUCCAGCUUCUGGAUGUGUACAAGUGAACAUACAGUGGACUUUCAGGUUACACGUGGACAAACUGCUGUGAUUGCCACUUUGCAGUACAAGGAUAAAUUAGGGAUAUUUAAAUAAAAAUGUAAUGUAAUAUGAACAUUUUGAAUAGAGACUGAAGGCAUUGGCUGGAUUAGUACACAUUAAAUAGCAUGUAUCUGCUUUCUUGUGUAUUUUUCUGUCUUGCGGUUCAUAAAGUCAAAGCUAUGUGUAGUGAAUGUGAGCGUAAAGCUAAUGUUUUCUUACAUCUACCAUUGGAACUCAAAAAACUUCUGUUAUGGUCUUUUAAACAUACUGUAACUGUAUCUCUUUAGAGUCUUAACACAUUGUGACUAUUGUCUUUGAAGCAUUGAUAGAAAAGUGUGAAACAAAAGAACAUUAUUUUUAUGUCAGUGUAUAGGGACAUGGAUAUCUAAUUGUGGUGCAGGUUGUUUUAUUUAUAACAUUUCCCCCUGUACUUUAUUCUUAAGCAUUUCCUUAACGAGGAAGUGUGUCUCUAGUCUUUUUUUUUAUGUAUCACUUUCUUUUCAUGAUAAUCAUUAUUAGAGCCAUGUUGCCUUGGUUAAUGUUGAGUUCUUGUACAAUGGCAGAUCUAUUAUCUUAAAUGUACAUCGUCUAUAUCUCCGCUGUCAUAAUAAAACUGUUAAAAUUGUAUGCUCUGUCUCUGUAUUGUCAGUACUGUAUCUUCUGUAAAGGGAAUAUAAAUGAGGUUU
rnacentral:lncRNA from 1 species